CGGGAAUGUGUUUUGGACAUGUUGUUUCAAUAUGAGACAAUCAGCUGGGCCCUCUGCGGAAUGUCCCCGGAGACUGGAAACGACCUCCCAACAGGGUCAUUUGUUCAGCAGAAUUCUAAGUCGCAUUCUCCAACAUCUGCAUUCUAUUAAUACCUCCAGAAUAUUUCCAUCAGCUUUGGGAAAUCAGAAGAGAUGUUCAGCUCCAAAUCCUGGAGUCUUUUGAACACUGCUUUGUGACUCUUGCGUUCUGUGGGCGGAUCCUUGCUCCUGACCUCCUUCCCUUUAGUUUGCUGGGUGCAGGUGGAUGGUCACAUUUCUCAGUAAAACCUGAGGAAGAAGUUGAAGCCUCCUCGGUGUUCAAACCUUCUGGAGAUCUGAAAGGCACAGAGCCAGAGAGGACCAGGCCUUAGACAACUUGGUGGCAGUGGCUAUUAUCCGAACCUGUGUCAUGGCAGAUGCUGAAAGAGAGGAGCCAAAAAACAUCUAUUCAAUAGUUACCUUCAAAGAAUGGAAAAGUAAGCGUCUGCUACCAAUAACCACUAGAAACAUAAUUUUACCCAACAUGUACUUCAUUGCUUAUGACUCUAAUACACAGGGUCAGCUAGAUGAAUGAUAAGUCUUAGUAAAAAUUAUGGAGCAACUUUCUUGGAAAUUUAGAGAAAUGCCAGAGUGUGAUAAGGUCUCUGAUAGUGACAAAUGGCUUCCUGGUUGUAUGACUCAGAAAGAGCUCCUCUUUGCUGGCUGGAGCUGGCUGAGGAGGCAGGCUGAAAACCCUCACUGUGCAGGAGGGAGCAGCUACCUAACAGGGCUGAUGGUGUUUCCUGUGCUGUCUGUCUGUCCAGGGGAGAGUUCUGACAGUCCCACCUGGCUUCCUCUUCCAGGGCCUCCUGCUCCGCUUAACCCUUUAGCCAGGAGGGUCCCCUGCUUCCUGUCCGCGUUCCCACAGCUGCUGAGGGCCACAGCUCCCGCCUGUGCACAGAGGGUCCUUGCUGUGUGUACGAGAUGGUGGCUCCCUGCGCCAUGUGGCAGAUGUUCAGCAUCAGGAAUCAAAACAGCUUUCACACCACGCAGCACAUUCUUCUUCCAGUCCCGUUCAUUUCCUCUCGGUGGGAUGUGGAACAAUUUCUCUCAUCUGUUGCUCACUCAGUGAAACUGAGAAGUGGACAGAGGAGGCCAGAGACCGCAUGGAGCUUCCUGAGUCUUGACAUUCCAAGAAUACCCUCAACUGGUCCUCUCCUUUUUUCGAAAAACGUGACAAGCCUGUAAGACUAAGGGAAAGAGUAAAGCAGUUUCUGUUCAUUGUACGCUGGACAAAUUCCGAGUGGAUUCUGCAAUACUGAAUUAGCAUAGAGGACUUUCUGGAGGGAGAGAAGUGGACACUGUUCUUGACAGCUAUACUCAAUAUAUACUCACUACUUGGAAAAAACCAGGAAAGCAAAUGCACACUGGCAGCUUCUCACUAUGGACCAAUCAAAUGUUUCCCAUUUGAGUCUCGCAGUACUGUGAAAAGUUCCCUUUGGAUGUCUUCCUGCCAGAGGAUGGUUUGACUCCCUCCGCCAGUGCAGGCAAGAGGAGAGGAAGGAGCUACAGACAUUCAGUGGGCUCACAUCUUGGGCACUUGUUCUGAUCCAUGCUCCAGCCAUAAUGUGACUCCUUCACCAGAGGCCCAAACAAACAGGGCUGUCUGAUCUUGCACUUAAGCUUCUGGAGCCAUCAGCAAAAAUCAACCUCUCAUUACUUCAUAAGUGGCAUGCAUCAGAAGAAGACUUAAGUCCCACGGUGAGCCAGUGACUUAUCAGUUCAUACUCGCUGGAGUCAGAGGUCAGAAGAACAUAAGCCAACAACCCCUGGUUAUUCUCUGAAAUCUCCAUGAUGGCACUGGCUCUGCACAGGGCAGAGUUAGGAUACAAACCAGUGUGGUGUAGAUGUAUGGGUAGUGACUCUGGUUUACCUCCAGAUACAUUCUUGGGCACCCUAGUUGUCUUUUAUCAGAAAAGCCACAACUGACUCUAAGGCCAGCAUAAGAACAAAAGACAGAAGAAAACAUGGAGUCAGAAACUUGAAGUUACUGCGGGGAGGAAUAUCAGACAUUGAGGUUUCACUAACUGCCAAGCCAUGGGAUGUAACAUCGAAGAAAAUCUAAAAGUGUGUCAUGCCAGCUUGCCCUUCAACUGGAGCUCUGUGAGGCUGGAGCCACAACUGUAUUUCCGGGUAUAUCCCCACUCCUUGUGCUGGUGUGUGGGCACCUUCCCACCCAUCCCAGAAAGGAAGGCGAGGGGACUGAUGCAAUUCGUGGACUGAUCUUCCUAACAACACAAGUCAGCUUCAUGUUGAGCAUUCCUGGAGAACAAAAGUGUUUUUGCUGCCAAGAUGUCAGGUUCUUUUUAGAGAGCUAAAAAUUAUACACAUCAGAAUUUCUAAAAUAAACGCUGAAUCUGAACCUUCCAGGCAGUGUUCUUGUUUUUCUCCCUGAGCUAUCAAAGAACAAAUUUGUUCCUUCCUUUAUUAAUAAGUUUGUUGGAAAUCUGUUGUGCCAGCCCAUGACUAUUUUCCAGGAAAGCAGAUUAAUGCUAGAUUAUGAAAAUAAAUGAUAACAUAUUUACUGUGAGAACUAAUGAUAUCCUGAGUGCUAAGACAGUACACACUGCUUCUUCCAAGACUGGCAGGUAUGUUUCUGAAGUUGACUUCACUUCAGCGGAAGACACUCUGAGCUUACGUGACUGUGGGCUGCCCAACAUUGCAAAGAUACCAGCCUUGGCAGCAGCGUAUUUAGUACAACUCCAGUUGUGGAAACACUACUGUCACAUUAAAGAAAGGAUUCUUCCUGCCGUGUUGACAAGGAGUAGUGGAAUGGCAAGGCACCAGAAACUGUGGAGACCCAUACUCUUGUCUCAUUUCUGUCUUGCCUGCCUGUAGCCAGGUGGUGCUUUGAAGCCAUCCCAGCUUGUUUAUGAAUAACUCUAUGCUACUGGCCUUUGCUUAAAGUCUGCCUUAAGGACUUUUUCU
ensembl:lncRNA